rnacentral:lncRNA from 1 species
CGGGCGCCCGCCUUCGCCUGCGUCGCUGCCUGCACGCGGGCCGCCGUCCCCGGGCGUGUGAGAGCCGGCAGCUCGGCCGACUGGGCCCGGAGCGGCGCGGAGGCCGGGCGCUGACGCUCCACCCACAUUGGCCUAGACCCAGUCUCUAAGGGCUGAAAAUAUUGCCCGGAAGCUCCCGAGCAGAAUCAGAUCGCGCUAAGUAGGGCACAACGCAGAGGCGACAAAGCUCCUCGGCCCCAGGGCCCGCGGAGCAGACUCCGGAGCGCGGUCCCGCCCACGCUCGGCUCCGCAGUUAGCGUCCUCCUUCCUCCUGAGCAGAAAGAAACUCAUUCUGUGUUUCUGAGAAAGGAUCGUGCCAGGCACUGUUUCUG